rnacentral:rRNA from 1 species
AUUGAACGCUGGCGGCGUGCCUAACACAUGCAAGUCGAGCGGUAAGGCCCUUUCGGGGGUACGACGAGCGGCGAACGGGUGAGUAACACGUGGGUGACCUGCCCUCAGCUCUGGGAUAAGCCUGGGAAACCGGGUCUAAUACUGGAUAUGACUCCAUGACGCAUGUUGUGGGGUGGAAAGCCUUGUGCGGCUGAGGAUGGGCCCGCGGCCUAUCAGCUUGUUGGUGGGGUGAUGGCCUACCAAGGCGACGACGGGUAGCCGGCCUGAGAGGGCGACCGGCCACACUGGGACUGAGACACGGCCCAGACUCCUACGGGAGGGCAGCAGUGGGGAAUCUUGCGCAAUGGGCGCAAGCCUGACGAAGCAACGCCGCGUAGAGGAUGAAGGCCCUCGCGGUCGUAAACUCUUGUCUAGCGGGACGAAACCUCCAUAAGUGAAUAACUUAUGGAAUUGACUGUACCGCUGGA